AGGAGUUUGAUCCUGGCUCAAGGACGAACGCUGGCGGCGUGCUUAACACAUGCAAGUCGAACGGAAAGGCCCCUGCUUGCAGGGGUACUCGAGUGGCGAACGGGUGAGUAACACGUGGGUGAUCUGCCCUUCACUUCGGGAUAAGCCUGGGAAACUGGGUCUAAUACCGGAUAGGACCAAUCUUUAGUGUGGUUGGUGGAAAGUUUUUUCGGUGGAGGAUGAGCCCGCGGCCUAUCAGCUUGUUGGUGGGGUAAUGGCCUACCAAGGCGACGACGGGUAGCCGGCCUGAGAGGGUGGACGGCCACAUUGGGACUGAGACACGGCCCAGACUCCUACGGGAGGCAGCAGUGGGGAAUAUUGCACAAUGGGCGGAAGCCUGAUGCAGCGACGCCGCGUGAGGGGUGACGGCCUUCGGGUUGUAAACCUCUUUCGCUAGGGAAGAAGCCUUCGGGUGACGGUACCUGGAUAAGAAGCACCGGCUAACUACGUG
rnacentral:rRNA from 1 species